AGCCUGUGAUGAAUAAAAAGAAUAAGAGUAGUGGACAGAAGUGGUUUCUGAUAACUCUAUUCUGAGGCU
ensembl:snoRNA